UACAGAGGGUGCAAGCGUUAAUCGGAAUUACUGGGCGUAAAGGGUGUGUAGGUGGUUAGGUAAGUUAGAUGUGAAAUCCCCGGGCUCAACCUGGGAAUUGCGUUUAAAACUGUUUGACUAGAGUAUUGUAGAGGAUAGUGGAAUUUCCAGUGUAGCGGUGAAAUGCGUAGAUAUUGGAAGGAACACCAGUGGCGAAGGCGACUAUCUGGGCAAAUACUGACACUGAGACACGAGAGCAUGGGGAGCAAACAGG
rnacentral:rRNA from 1 species